rnacentral:rRNA from 1 species
CCCUUAGAUGUUCUGGGCCGCACGCGCGCUACACUGACGAAUGCAACGAGCUUAUAACCUUGGCCGAAAGGUCUGGGUAAUCUCCAAAUUUCGUCGUGAUGGGGAUAGAUUAUUGCAAUUAUUAAUCUUCAACAAGGAAUGCCUAGUAAGCGCAAGUCAUCAGCUUGCGUUGAUUACGUCCCUGCCCUUUGUACACACCGCCCGUCGCUCCUACCGAUUGAAUGGUCCGGUGAAGCGUUCGGACCGUGGCCUUUGGACGGUUCGCCGUCUGUUGGCUGCGGGAAGUUCGUUAAACCUUAUCAUUUAGAGGAAGGAGAAGUCGUANCA